rnacentral:rRNA from 1 species
CCUACGGGAGGCUGCAGUGGGGAAUAUUGGACAAUGGGCGAAAGCCUGAUCCAGCCAUGCCGCGUGUGUGAAGAAGGCCUUCGGGUUGUAAAGCACUUUCAGUGGGGAAGAAAGCCUUGGGGCUAAUACCCUCGAGGAAGGACAUCACCCACAGAAGAAGCACCGGCUAACUCCGUGCCAGCAGCCGCGGUAAUACGGAGGGUGCGAGCGUUAAUCGGAAUUACUGGGCGUAAAGCGCGCGUAGCCGGUCUGAUAAGCCGGUUGUGAAAGCCCCGGGCUCAACCUGGGAACGGCAUCCGGAACUGUCAGGCUAGAGUGCAGGAGAGGAAGGUAGAAUUCCCGGUGUAGCAGUGAAAUGCGUAGAGAUCGGGAGGAAUACCAGUGGCGAAGGCGGCCUUCUGGACUGACACUGACGCUGAGGUGCGAAAGCGUGGGUAGCAAACAGGAUUAGAUACCCCUGUAGUC